rnacentral:misc_RNA from 1 species
GAAAUGCGAUAAGUAAUGUGAAUUGCGGAAUUCAGUGAAUCAUCGAAUCUUUGAACGCACAUUGCGCUCGCCAGUAUUCUGGCGAGCAUGCCUGUUCGAGCGUCAUUUCAACCAUCAAGCUCUGCUUGCGUUGGGGAUCCGCGGCUGCCCGCGGUCCCUCAAAAACAGUGGCGGGCUCGCUAGUCACACCGAGCGUAGUAACUCUACAUCGCUAUGGUCGUGCGGCGGGUUCUUGCCGUAAAACCCCCAAUUUCUAAGGUUGACCUCGGAUCAGGUAGGAAUACCCGCUGAACUUAAGC